GACUUGGCAGUGGGGCGGUUUCUUGGCCUAGUGUCUGUGCCAUGAGCCGUACAGCAAAACAAAACAGCAUCCAUUUAUUCUCCCAUUUAUUACAGACCUGUGGGUCUGUGGAGCCCCGAGAGAAGAUAAAGAAGACUUUAACUCGGAGAGUGGUUGCUGCACAAAGUCCUGCCUGACAUCAUCCCUUUGAAUAUUUGGAUAUAUUUGUUUUGGGACUGAACAGGAUUACCGUAAGGCUUAAGUAGUUUUUACUGCACUGAGUGAGUUUAGCAGGAGAAAUGGAGCCAAAGGAGCCAAGGAAGGACACAGGAAAGAAAAACAGCAAAAAGGUGGCCGAUCCCGUCAGCAUACUUCCUAAAGGGGGAAAGGACAGAUGGAAGGUGGACCUUGAGGACAUGCUUGGCAUCGCCGGUAUUGUGGGCACAGUUCUCAACCUGCUGGUGGUGGUGUUGGUGUAUAUCUACACACCUAUCUGACAUGCCUACACAGACUGUAUAGCUUUACUGGGAAGCUGUUGACUUUUGGAUGGAAUGGACAGAUGUAUAAAUGGGAUGUCGCCUACUUGAUGGAUGGCUACAAGGACAACAAGAAGGAAGGAACGGGAUGCUGUGAACACAAGAGUGUUUUAGUCAUAGACCGGCCAAAUCACAUUCUCUUAUGUUGUUAGUGUUGAGGAUAGUUUUUUUUCAUUAUAUUUGUCCAAUCUGAUACAACCGACCUUUGUAGUUGGGUUUGUAACUGUGAUUAGUUAACCUCAAAGUUAAAGUCCUUUUCCAAAAGGUGAGACAUUUGGACAACACUGGGCAAAUUGCAUGCGUUGUUGAUUUCUGUGUUAACUACAGUAACUUUCUUUCUUUUUUCUAUUGUAUCCGCAAUAUGGAUGCAAUGUAUGUUAGUUUUCUGAUUGUUGCCAUUGUUUCCUGAAAAUUAAAGUAUAACCAAUACAUUUUAAA